GCCCUGGUAGCUCAAUUGGUUAGAGCGUCGGACUUUUAUAGCUUUUCCUGGCUAUAAGGCAUCCGAAGGCUGCGGGUUCGACCCCCGCCUGGGGCG